CCCUUAGAUGUUCUGGGCCGCACGCGUGCUACACUGAGUAAUUCAAUGGGUAAGGGAACGCUAGAGCAUUACCUAAUCUUGAAAUUUGCUCGUGAUGGGGAUCGACGGUUGCAAUUUUCCGUCGUGAACGAGGAAUACCUUGUAGGCGCAUGUCAUCAUCAUGCGCCGAAUACGUCCCUGCCCUUUGUACACACCGCCCGUCGCUCCAACCGAUUGAGUGAUCCGGUGAGGCUCUGGGACCUGGACGGAAAGAGCGUUUCGCUUGUUCUGUUUGGGAAACUUGGUCGAACCUUAUCAUUUAGAGGAAGGAGAAGUCGUAACA
rnacentral:rRNA from 1 species